AAGAAACACGCUGAGACACAAAUUACAUUGCCUCUGAUUUAUUGAGGAAGUACAUUGCAGCAGAAAGGAAGACAGUGAAGCAGGACAGGGAAGGACAAAGAGCUAAGGAAGAAUGUGUUCUCAGACUGGUCUUUACCCUAAUACAAAAGCUGAAAUAGAAACACUGGAGAGCUGAUUACAGUACAUAUUGCUGGAUCUCAUCACCAGAGGUUGUAAUUCGUUAGGUAUAAUGGAGGCCCAGAAAUCUGCAUUUCUAACAAGUUGCUGGCUGCUGCUGCUGCCUUAGUAAGAAUACAUUGAGAAACCUGCUCUACAGCAUGCAUCUUGAGGCCUUAUGAUGCAAAGCUCAAUUCAUCUGCAGAGAAAGAAGCUGGGGAUUCAGAACAGAAACUAUUGAAAAAAAAAAAGAGUUGCAUGUAUUUGUACCUUUUGGUAAAUGAAACAUGUUAAAUGAUACGAAUGAGAAGUACCCUACUAAAAAAUUCCCAGGUGAAAGAGAAGGCAGGAGAACUUCAGGUACAGUCUGUUGGGCUCUGAGGUGAAGAGAUGCCAACUAAAACACUGCUUUUUUAAUAUGAGUCGGUGAGAAGAAGUGACAAGGCAUUGAAGCCUGGAAAGUGGUGAUAAUUCCUCUGCUGCAGCAUUGGAUAAAACUGUUAACUGUGGAAAGUACUAGGCAGAACGUAUUCCUGUGGAGAUUAAAGCUGCUAGAGAAGUGCUUAGAAAGGCAGAAUGUCAGUAUAUUUUGAUUGCUAUGUGCAGUUUUUAGUAAAAUAUUGUAACAAAAAAUGAGCACAGCUAGGAAAAAAUGAACAGUUGAAAUUAGAAAUAGAGGUGACAGAACUUUUUAAGGGAGAUAACCUAAAAUUGGCUAAUAAACUAGAAAAGUGAGAUUUCUCAGAGUUGAAAAAACUAACUGCCUCAGUAUUUUAAACAAUGGGAAAAAGAGUGUCCCUCAUGGCUUUUUUUAGAGUCCCCCCAUUUGGACUUUUCAGCCAAAAGUAUGAAAAAGCCACACGCAAAGAUUAGAUUAUAAAUAUUGCCUUCAUACCACUAUGAACUUUUUCAUAUGACCACGUUAGUCAUCUUUAAAAUAAAGAAAAGUGGUCCCAGUGCCGGGUUUACGCCUUUAAUCCCAGCACUUUGGGAGGCCGAGA